rnacentral:rRNA from 1 species
UGGGGAAUAUUGCACAAUGGGCGAAAGCCUGAUGCAGCGACGCCGCGUGCGGGAUGAAGGCCUUCGGGUUGUAAACCGCUUUUAAUUGGGAGCAAGCGAGAGUGAGUGUACCUUUUGAAUAAGCACCGGCUAACUACGUGCCAGCAGCCGCGGUAAUACGUAGGGUGCAAGCGUUAUCCGGAAUUAUUGGGCGUAAAGAGCUCGUAGGCGGUUUGUCACGCCUGGUGUGAAAGUCCAUCGCUUAACGGUGGAUCUGCGCCGGGUACGGGCAGGCUAGAGUGCAGUAGGGGAGAUUGGAAUUCCCGGUGUAACGGUGGAAUGUGUAGAUAUCGGGAAGAACACCAAUGGCGAAGGCAGAUCUCUGGGCUGUUACUGACGCUGAGGAGCGAAAGCAUGGGGAGCGAACAGGAUUAGAUACCCGUGGUAGUCCAUGCCGUAAACGAUGGAUGCUGGAUGUGGGACCCUUCCACGGUUCGUGUCGGAGCUAACGCGUUAAGCAUCCCG